rnacentral:rRNA from 1 species
UACGUAGGCAGCAAGCGUUGUUCGGAGUUACUGGGCGUAAAGGGUGUGUAGGCGGUUCACUAAGUUCGGUGUGAAAUCUCCCGGCUUAACUGGGAGGGUGCAUUGAAAACUGGUGGGCUUGAGUAUGGGAGAGGUAAGCGGAAUUCCUGGUGUAGCGGUGAAAUGCGUAGAUAUCAGGAGGAACACCUGUGGUGUAGACAGCUUACUGGACCAUCACUGACGCUGAAACACGAAAGCGUGGGUAGCAAACAGG